UAAUAACUAGAAAAAUUGCAUUUCCUUGCAGAAAAUGCGUGGAAAUGCUGAGUGCUGAAAGCUGAAAAAGCAAUGCUAAACUGCUAAUAAAACAUGGAGAAAGGUAUAAAUGUUAAAGCUGUUGAAGGGGUGAACAGAAAUAUAAGUUGGAUAAUUGAUUAAUUGGUUGAAGGACAAAUAGUAUGAAUAUGCUCUAUAAAAGGAAAUUUUAUUCAUGCUGAAAGAGGCUAGAAAAAUGUCUAAAAUUGCACAAAGUUUGAAUGAAGAAGGAAAUUGCCUUAAAAGGCAGGAAGGUGAGAAGUGGCAUAAGUUUAAAUUGUAGUACUAGAAGUAGUAUGAUAAGAAGUCAAGUCGUGAUACUAGUAGUCAUGUCAGCAGUAGAAGUAGAUUGAGAAUAAAAGAAGUAUAAGUCAAAGUAGUAAAGAAAGUAGAAAUAGGAGCAAUAGCAGUUGAAGUAGAGGGGAAAGUUCUAGUUUAAUUGACAUUAGCAGUAGUUGUCGUACUUGAGGUAGGAUUAUGUUUGAAUGAUGGAGUAAUGCAUAAAUAUUAAAACUAAUUUAAAACAGGGAAAUUUUAAAUUAUCAAAAGUCCUCAAGUAUCAUUAAGUUUUGAAGUAUUAGAAAGGUUUGAAUCAGUUUGAAUGAGUUUAAAUUAGUUUGAAAAAUUAAAUGAUAAAUCAUGACUGACUGACUUUUAAAAUGUGAAAAAUUUAAAUGAAUAACAAUCCUAAAUACACCCAAUAAUGUCCUCAAUGAGCUUAAAUUUCAAAGCCCUGAAUGGUUUCUGUAGGUCAAAGGUCAUGUGAGGAGAUAGGGGCUGAAGUUUUUUCCAACGCUCUAGGAAAGGGUUUUAAGUGUCAUCCCAAUUGCUAUGUGUACUGAGCCUGGCUUCAUGUGUCUCAUAUGGCCACUAGAAGCAGCUUUCCAGUCAGCUGUGUGUCUCCAGGUGCACAAAUUGGUUGCCAUGGGGACCUUGGAUGCAUAACUAUAGCAGGAGAAAGAAGGCUUGAAGCUAAAGAAACAGGACUCCAAGUAGGCCCUGACGCUCACCCUCUGUAUAUAUUCAUAAGGAGCUUGUGAGAACACAAGACUCUGCUGAACACAUUAAUACAAUUUAUUAUCACAAUCCUCAAAACACCCCAUAUUAUCUUCAAUGAGCUGAAUUUUUGAAGCCCAGAAUGGUUUCUGUAGCUCAAAGUUUGUGGGUGGAGAUAGGUGGUGAAGCAGACACAUAUUAACUGUGUGUACAAGCAGCUGAACUGCAAGGUGGACCUCAAAAAGCAACAAGUACAAGAAGGUGUGUGUGCGUGUGUGUGUGUGUGUGUCUCGUUAAUGACUGCAUCCUAAACAGCUGUGAGAUCAAAGGCAAAUCACUAACCUACUGUUUGACUGAGAGGUGCUGAACUGCAGUGAAUUUCAGCCUGUGAACUUCUUCACAUAGCGUGAUUUCCUUAAGUCCCAGAAUGAAAAUAAGAACAUCGUACGAAUCCUCCGUCCUUCAUGAACACAAUGAUGUGUUUUUCAUGUCUGUACUUCGAAAAAUGAGGCCACAACAGCGAGUUAAAAAAGUCUGAGCCUGAGCGAUGAUCCGGAUUUUCUUGGAGAAAAAUAACAUUAUGGUCAAUGGGAGAGAUUUCCGCCUUCCUUGGACAGUUGGUCACCUGCUGGCCAAGGGGUACGAUUUAAUGAUUUGAAACCUCUUUUGUGAGAAGCAGGACACAUAUACCUCCAUUUUGAUGUAUUAUUUAUGGCUCUGGAGUGAGAUUUGUGGGCGUGGGAGCGAUAUAUUCGAGCGAGGUUCUGUCGAUCAGAGACGGGGUCUGCACUCUAGCUUUUCAAAUCCUCACUCUAGCCUCUCCAAUUCACCCCCAUUAUAAAACCUGAAAUUUGCUGAAAACCACAAGUUGCUUAAAGCUAAAUUGUGGAAAAACUGUAAAAGAUAGCACAAAAAGGUUAAUACAACAUCAAUAGUCGACAAGACAAUGAACAUUUUAAAGCAAAAAUGAGGUCUCUAGGUGAAAGUAUGCUGAAGUUAUAAGGCUUAGAAGGUGGACGAAUAACAGGAAGUAUUGGAAGAUUUCCCCAUUCGUUUCUAUGGGAAAAAAAGUUUGGCACAAAAAGUGAAAAAUAAUAAAAAGUACAAAGGAUAGAAAGGAAAAAAAUACAAGCACACAUGUCCUGAUGGAGUGGAAUAGUUUAAAGUUUGAACGGUUGAAAUCGGACAAAGUUUGAAGGAGGAGAAGCGGUCCAAAGAAACGUAUGGGGAGAGUGUUAAGUAUAAUACUAGAAAAAUUGCAUUUCCUUGCAGAAAAUGCGUGGAAAUGCUGAGUGCUGAAAGCUGAAAAAGCAAUGCUAAACUGCUAAUAAAACAUGGAGAAAUGUAUAAAUGUUAAAGCUGUUGAAGGGGUGUGAAAGAAAUGUAAGUUGGAUAAUUGAUUAAUUGGUUGAAGGACAAAUAGUAUGAAUAUGCUCUAUAAAAAGAAAUUUUAUUCAUGCUGAAAGAGGCUAGAAAAAUGUCUAAAAUUGCACAAAGUUUGAAUGAAGAAGGAAAUUGCCUUAAAAGGCAGGAAGGUGAGAAGUGGCAUAAGUUUAAUUUUUGAAGUAUUAGAAAGGUUUGAAUCAGUUUGAAUCAGUUCAAAUUAGUUUGAAAAAUUAAAUGAUAAAUCAUCACUGAGUGACUUUAAAAUGUGAAAAAUCUAAAUGUAUAUAAAUCCUAAAUACACCCCCUAAUGUCCUCAAUGAGCUCAAAUUUUAAAGCCCUGAAUGGUUUCUGUAGGUCAAAGGUCAUGUGAGGAGAUAGGGGCUGAAGUUUUUUCAAGCGCUCUAGUAAAGGGUUUUAAGUGUCAUCCCCAGUGCUAUGUGUGCUGAGCCUAGCUUCAUGUGUCUCAUAUGGCCAUUAGAAGCAGCUUUCCAGUCAGCUGUGUGUCUCCAGGUGCACUAAUUGGUUGCCAUGGGGACCUUGGAUGCAUAACUAUAGCAGGAGAAAGAAGGCUUGAAGCUAAGGAAACAGGACUCCAAGUAGGCCCUGACGCUCAUCCUCUGUAUCUAUUCCUGAUAAGGAGCUUGUGAGAACACAAGACUCUGCUAAACACAUUAAUACAAUUUAUUAUCACAAUCCUCAAAACACCCCAUAAUAUCUUCAAUGAGCUGAAUUUUAGAAGCCCAGAAUGGUUUCUGUAGCUCAAAGUUUGUGGGUGGAGAUAGGUGGCGAAGCAGACACAUAUUAACUGUGUGUACAAGCAGCUGAACUGCAAGGUAGACCUCAUAAAGCAACAAGUACAAGAAUGUGUGUGUGUGUGUGUGUGUGUGUCUCGUUAAUGACUGCAUCCUAAACAGCUGUGAGAUCAAAGGCAAAUCACUGACCUACUGUUUGAAUGAGAAGCAGCUGAACUGCAGAGGAUUUAGAGGCUCUAAACUUCUUCACAUAGCGUGAUUUCCUUAAGUCCCAGAAUGAAAAUAAGAACAUCGUACGAAUCCUCCGCCCUUCAUGAACACAAUGAUGUGUUUUUCAUGUCUGUACUUUGAAAAAUGAGGCCACAACAGCGAGUUAAAAAAGUCUGAGCCUGAGCGAUGAUCCGGAUUUUCUUGGAGAAGAAAUACAUUAGGUCUAAUGGGGAGAGAUUUCCGCCUAUUUGGACAGUUGGUCACCUGCUGGCCAAGGGGUAAGAUUUAAUGAUUUGAAACCUCUUUUGUGAGAAGCAGGACACAUAUACCUCCAUUUUGAUGUAUUUUUUAUGGGUGUGGAGUGAGAUUUGUGAGCGUGGGAGCGAUAUAUUCGAGCGAGGUUCUGUCCAUCAGAGACGAGGUCUGCACUCUAGCUGAUGACAUCAUCACUCUAAACUCUCCAAUACACACCCAUUAUAAAGCUUGAAAUUUGCUGAAAACCACAAGUUGCAUGAAGCUAAAUUGUGGAAGAACUGUAGAAGAUAGCACAAAAAAGUGAAUACAACAUUAAUAGCCGACAAGUUAAUGAACAUUUUAAAGCAAAAAUGAGGUCUCUAGGUGAAAGUAUGCUGAAGUUAUAAGGCUUAGAAGGUGGAAGAAUAAAAGGAAGAUAUGGAAGAUUUCCCCAUUGACUUCAAUGUUAAAAUUUUUGCACAAAAAGUUUAAAAAAAACAAAAAGUAUAAAAGGUAGAAGAGUGAAAAGUAAUAGCUAUCAUGUCCUGAAGGAGUGGAAUAGUUUAAAGUUUGAACGGUUGAAAUCGGACAAAGUUUGAAGGAGGAGAAGCGGUCCAAAAAAGGUACGGAAGAAUAAUAAUAAGUUGAAUAAAGAAACAGGAGAAUAACAAUAAGUGGAAAUGCUUAAUCAGCAUUUCCACUUAACUAGAAAAAUUGCAUUUCCUUGCAGAAAAUGCGUGGAAAUGCUGAGUGCUGAAAGCUGAAAAAGCAAUGCAAAACUGCUAAUAAAACAUGGAGAAAUGUAUAAAUGUUAAAGCUGUCUAAGGGGUGUGAAAGAAAUGUAAGUUGGAUAAUUGAUUAAUUGGUUGAAGGACAAAUAGUAUGAAUAUGCUCUAUAAAAAGAAAUUUUAUUCAUGCUGAAAGAGGCUAGAAAAAUGUCUAAAAUUGCACAAAGUUUGAAUGAAGAAGGAAAUUGCCUUAAAAGGCAGGAAGGUGAGAAGUGGCAUAAGUUUAAUUUUUUAAGUAUGAGAAAGGUUUGAAUCAGUUUGAAUCAGUUCAAAUUAGUUUGAAAAAUUAAAUGAUACAUCAUCACUGAGUGACUUUAAAAUGUGAAAAAUCUAAAUGUAUAUAAAUCCUAAAUACACCCCAUAAUGUCCUCAAUGAGCUCAAAUUUUAAAGCCCUGAAUGGUUUCUGUAGGUCAAAGGUCAUGUGAGGAGAUAGGGGCUGAAGUUUUUUCAAGCACUCUAGUAAAGGGUUUUAAGUGUCAUCCCCAGUGCUAUGUGUGCUGAGCCUGGCUUCAUGUGUCUCAUAUGGCCAUUAGAAGCAGCUUUCCAGUCAGCUGUGUGUCUCUAGGUGCACUAAUUGGUUGCCAUGGGGACCUUGGAUGCAUAACUAUAGCAGGAGAAAGAAGGCUUGAAGCUAAGGAAACAGGACUCCAAGAAGGCCCUGACGCUCAUCCUCUGUAUCUAUUCCUGAUAAGGAGCUUGUGAGAACACAAGACUCUGCUAAACACAUUAAUACAAUUUAUUAUCACAAUCCUCAAAACACCCCAUAAUAUCUUCAAUGAGCUGAAUUUUUGAAGCCCAGAAUGGUUUCUGUAGCUCAAAGUUUGUGGGUGGAGAUAGGUGGCGAAGCAGACACAUAUUAACUGUGUGUACAAGCAGCUGAACUGCAAGGUAGACCUCAUAAAGCAACAAGUACAAGAAUGUGUGUGUGUGUGUGUGUGUGUGUGUGUGUGUCUCGUUAAUGACUGCAUCCUAAACAGCUGUGAGAUCAAAGGCAAAUCACUGACCUACUGUUUGAAUGAGAAGCAGCUGAACUGCAGAGGAUUUAGAGGCUCUAAACUUCUUCACAUAGCGUGAUUUCCUUAAGUCACAGAAUGAAAAUAAGAACAUCGUACGAAUCCUCCGCCCUUCAUGAACACAAUGAUGUAUUUUUCAUGUCUGUACUCCGACAAAUGUGGCCACAACAGCGAGUUAAAAAAGUCUGAGCCUGAGCGAUGAUCCGGAUUUUCUUGGCGAAAAAUAACAUUAUGGUCAAUGGGAGAGAUUUCCGCCUUCUUUGGACAGUUGGUCACCUGCUGGCCAAGGGGUACGAUUUAAUGAUUUGAAACCUCUUUUGUGAGAAGCAGGACACAUAUACCUCCAUUUUGAUGUAUUAUUUGUGUCAGUGGAGUGAGAUUUGUGGGCGUGGGAGCGAUAUAUUCGAGCGAGGUUCUGUCGAUCAGAGACGAGGUCUGCACUCUAGCUGAUGACAUCAUCACUCUAAACUCUCCAAUACACACCCAUUAUAAAGCUUGAAAUUUGCUGAAAACCACAAGUUGCUUAAAGCUAAAUUGUGGAAAAACUGUAAGAGAUAUCAAAAAACUGAGUACAACUUUAAUAGUCGACAAGUGAAUGAACAUUUUAAAGCAAAAAUGAGGUCUCUAGGUGAAAGUAUGCUGAAGUUAUAAGGUCUAGAAGGUGGAAGAAUAAAAGGAAGAAUUGGAAGAUUUCCCCAUUGACUUCAAUGUUAAAAUUUUUGCACAAAAAGUUAAAAAAAACAAAAAGUAUAAAUGUUAGAAAAGUGAAAAGUAAUAGCAAACGUGUCCUGAAGGAGUGGAAUAGUUUAAAGUUUGAACGGUUGAAAUCGGACAAACUGGGAAGGAGUUGAAAGCGGACGAAAAACGGCGGAAGAAUAAUAAUAAUAAUAAUAAUAAUAAUAAUAAAGAAACGGGAGAAUAACAAUA